UAGUAGGAAAAUCCGUUUCGUUAUUAACUGAGGCGUUAUGAGGAGGUCUACGGACUCGAAGGUGUUGACUCCAAACUGCCAAGAAAACUUCGCAUCUCGAGAUUAUAGGUAUCCGUACCGUAAACCGCCACAGGUAGGUUGGUAGAGAAUACUAAGGUGCGCGAGACAACUCUCGCUAAGGAACUCGGCAAAAUCACCUCGUAACUUCGGGAGAAGAGGUACCCUGGUAGCGUGAAGCGAUUCACUCGUGAAGCGUGAUAGGGUCGCAGUGAAUAGGCCCAAGCGACUGUUUACCAAAAACACAGGUCUCUGCUAAGUCGAUCAAGACGAUGUAUAGGGGCUGACGCCUGCCCGGUGUCGGAAGGUUACGUGGAAGGGUUAGACUUCGGUCGAAGCUCUGAAACUAAGCCCCGAUGAACGGCGGCCGUAACUAUAACGGUCCUAAGGUAGCGAAAUUCCUUGUCAGGUAAGUUCUGACCCGCACGAAUGGCGUAACGAUAUGGGCGCUGUCUCGGCGAGAGGCUCGGCGAAAUUGGAUUAUCCGUGAAGAUACGGAUUACGUGUACCAGGACAGAAAGACCCUAUUGAGCUUUACUGUAGCUUGAAAUUGAAUUCGGGUUCUUAUUGUGCAGUAUAGGUGGGAGACAUUGAAGCAAGGACGUCAGCUUUGUGGAGUCAUCGUUGAGAUACCACUCUGUAAUAAUUUGAAUUCUAACCUUGAACCCUCGAAGAACAGGGCAAGGGACAGUUUCUGGUAGGCAGUUUGACUGGGGCGGUCGCCUCCUAAAAAGUAACGGAGGCGUUCAAAGGUUCCCUCAGGUUGGUCGGAAAUCAACCAUUGAGUGCAAUAGCAAAAGGGAGCUUGACUGCGAGACAAACACGUCGAGCAGGUGCGAAAGCAGGAUAUAGUGAUCCGGUGGUUCUGAAUGGAAGGGCCAUCGCUCAUCGGAUAAAAGUUACCAUAGGGAUAACAGGCUUAUCUCCCCCAAGAGUCCACAUCGACGGGGAGGUUUGGCACCUCGAUGUCGGCUCGUCGCAUCCUGGAGCGGUAGUACGUUCCAAGGGUUGGGCUGUUCGCCAUUAAAGCGGCACGCGAGCUGGGUUCAGAACGUCGUGAGACAGUUCGGUCCAUAUCCGGUAUACGCGCAAGAGAUUUGAACGGAGUCUUCCUUAGUACGAGAGGACCGGGAAGAGGGGACCUCCAGUGUAUGGGUUAUCCUGCCAAGGGUAAACGCCCAGUAGCUGUGUUCCAAGCGGAUAAGUGCUGAAAGCAUAUAAGUACGAAGCCCACCGUAAGAUGAGAUCUCUCAUAGCACAAGCUAGUAAGUCCCGUGGCAGAUUACCACGUUGAUAGGUCAGAGAUGUAAGAGUGGCAACAUUUUCAGUCGACUGAUACUAAUCGGACGAGGGCUUUUCCUA
rnacentral:rRNA from 1 species